UUUCUAUCCUACCCACCACAAAUAUGAUGAAUGGAUGAAAAAGAAAUGUUUUUUUUGUUUUUUGAAAGCAACAACAUGAUGAGUACCUUAAUCGGACUUAAAAGUAGAUCAAGUAGACAUGAUGAUCCAAAAAACGUCCGACCCCCACACUUCUAUGCCCACAAUAAAACGGAGCUCGACACAGGGAGAGGCUGGAGACGAACGUACAGUUUAGCGAGGAAUUGGAGAUGAGGCCGAGACAACGGAGGUGGUAGUAGGACCCCCUCGCCCGUACGGGACAUUCACCGGAGGAGGCAGCUCCAUCGAGCCUCUUCGUUCCUUUCCACAGCUUUCUUGAACUUCCCGUGGGCGCUGGACUCGAGCAAGUUCAGGAAAGCUGUGGGAAUGCAUGGAGAGGUUGGAAUCCCGAGAGGUUCUCGAUCUCCUGUUCAUCUCCCACCGUCUGCUCCUGGAAGUUUUAGUCUGUGAUCUCCACGUAGAGUUAUAAGUUGGCGUUUGCAGUUUGCACAUAAAACCAAGAUCCACUUCCACGUAGUGGAGAUCUACAGGAGGACUUGCCGGAGUCAUGCGCUGCCAGAGGAGAUUCUUCAGGUAAGCAGCGAUUGUUCGUGCAUGUUUGAUCUCUCUGGGAAAACAAGCGUCUCCUCUUUCAAGACACUGCACCUGAUGAGUUAGCAUGAAGGAUUGCUAGUUCGAUUCGAGUGGAAUCUAUCAUAAGACAAUUUGGAUCAAUGUGGGAAUUACCCCAUCCUUCUCCGAGUGGUCGUGGGUGACAGAUGAAGAGGCCAGGCGAAGGGAUGAUGAUCUCAAGGGAAGGCCGACAGGGCUUGUACGGUGGUCAGAUACGUGAUCCCCACGAUUCAUCUUUACGUGUGGACGUCUGAUUGGUACACUGAUCCCUAUCUGUCGUGGUGGUCAGACGUGUGAUCCACAAGAUUCAUCUCACGUCGUUGUGGAUCACCUAAUAAGGGCUUUAAUUCUUCUCGACCACAGGCAUAUGAAGUUUCGAAAACCUGUAUCAUCUCUGUUCUUCAUGUAGCAGGAGUUUCAGGAAAUGUUCUAGUCCGAGGUUACGUGACAUUUCAAUCUCCGACACUGAAUUAUAACAUAAUAUCAUCGAAUUAAUCUGUCAUCAACCACUGCAGUCAUGAUAUUUUUCAUGUUCCGUAACUUGAUGAACCACAUCAGGACACAACUUAAGUCUUGUGGUACAAACAUACUUCUUGCUAUCGACCACCAAGCUUUCAACUGGAGAAGG